AAAGUAACGAUAAGGCCAGUGAAAUCCUGGCCCGCCGUAAACCCAAGGUUUCCUGGGCAACGAUUUUCGUCCCAGGGUUAGUCGGGAGCUAAGUCCAGGCCGAAUGGCGUAGGCGAUGCACAGCUGGCGAAUAUUCCAGCACCGGCUAUGGUUAAACCAUACGUGCACAGGUGGGGAGAGAGCAUGCCGAUUGAAAGUGGCAGAAGGGGGAUGCUUCGGCUGAACCUGGUCUCUUGAACUAACUGUCUAGAAAAGCGUAUGGCCCUUUCCAUAGCCGCCCGUACCGCAAACCGACACAGGUGGGUGGGUAGAGUAUACCAAGGCGUAAGAGUGAAACCUCGUUAAGGAACUCUGCAAUCUAGUCCCGUAACUUCGGAAGAAGGGAUGCCCUAGUUUACUAGGGCCGCAGUGAAAGGGGACAACCGACUGUUUAUCAAAAACACAGCACUCUGCCAAGACGAAAGUCCAAGUAUAGGGUGUGACACGUGACCAAUGCCGAAAGAUUAAGGCAAGGGGUUAGUGCCGCUUGCGGCACGAAGCUCUGAACCUAAGUCCCGGUGAAUGUCGGCCGUAACUAUAACGGUCCUAAGGUAGCGAAAUUCCUUGUCGGGUAAGUUCCGACCUGCACGAAUCGUGUAACGAGUUGUCCGCUGUCUCAACGAGGGGCUCAGUGAAAUUGUAAUGGCGGUGUAGAUGCCGCCUACCCGCAGAAGGACGGAAAGACCCUAUGCACCUUAACUGUAAGCUGUCACUGUUCGUUUGGUUCUCAUGCUUAGCGUAAGUGGGAGGCUUUGAAGUCUGGCUUUCGGGCCAGAUGGAGCCAUCGAUGAAACACCACCCUUGAGUAUUGAACGAUCUAACCUCGAUCCCGUGAAUCCGGGCGUGGGACCAUGUCAGCCGGUCAGUUUUACUGGGGCGGUAUCCUCCCAAAGAGUAACGGAGGAGCGCGAAGGUUGGCUCAGCGCGGUUGGCAAUCGCGUGACGAGUGCAUUGGCAUAAGCCAGCCUAACUGUGAGACUGACAAGUCGAACAGAUACGAAAGUAGGCCAAAGUGAUCCGGCGGUUUAAUGUGGAAUUGCCGUCGCUUAACGGACAAAAGGUACGCUAGGGAUAACAGGCUGAUUUCAUCCAAGAGUUCAUAUCGACGAUGAAGUUUGGCACCUCGAUGUCGGCUCAUCGCAUCCUGGGGCUGGAGAAGGUCCCAAGGGUCCGGCUGUUCGCCGGUUAAAGCGGUACGCGAGCUGGGUUCAGAACGUCGCGAGACAGUUCGGUCCUCUAUCCUCUGUGGGCGCAGGAAAAUUGAGGGGUUUAAUUCCUAGUACGAGAGGACCGGAAUUAACGCACCUCUGGUGUUCCAGUUGUUCUGUCAAGAGCACCGCUGGGCAGCUAAGUGCGGAAGAGAUAAGCGCUGAAAGCAUCUAAGCGCCAAGCUCAUCCCGAGAUAAAUUUUCCCUGAAGGAUCGUGAAAGACUAUCACGUUGAUAGGCCAUGGGUGUAAGCGCAGUAAUGCGUUCAGCUUAAUGGUACUAAUCAUCCGUUUGUCUUGUAUGG
rnacentral:rRNA from 1 species